ACUUCGCAAUGCGGGAAACCGUGACGAGGGAAUUCCGAGUGCUCAUACAAUGUAUGGGCUUUUCUGAUGUGUAAAAAGCAUUAGGAAUAAGGGCUGGGUAAGACCGGUGCCAGCCGCCGCGGUAAUACCGGCAGCUCUAGUGGUAGCCACUUUUAUUGGGCCUAAAGCGUCCGUAGCCGGUCAGGUAAAUCCUUGGGUAAAUCGUACAGCUUAACUGUGCGGCUUCCGGGGAGACUGCCUGACUUGGGGACCGGGAGAGGUUGGAGGUACUCCUGGGGUAGGGUGAAAUCCUGUAAUCCUAGGUGGACCACCGGUGGCGAAGGCGUCCAACCAGAACGG
rnacentral:rRNA from 1 species